AGUGAACGCUGGCGGUAGGCCUAACACAUGCAAGUCGAACGGCAGCACAGGAGAGCUUGCUCUCUAGGUGGCGAGUGGCGGACGGGUGAGGAAUACAUCGGAAUCUGCCCAGUCGUGGGGGAUAACGUAGGGAAACUUACGCUAAUACCGCAUACGACCUUCGGGAGAAAGAGGGGGAUCGCAAGACCUCUCGCGAUUGGAUGCGCCGAGGUCGGAAUAGCUAGUUAGCGGGGUAACGGCCCACCAAGGCGACGAUCCGUAGCUGGUGUGAGAGGGUGAUCGGCCACACUGGAGCUGAGACACGGUCCAGACUCCUGCGGGAGGCAGCAGUGGGGAAUAUUGGGCAAUGGGCGCAAGCCUGAUCCAGCCAUACCGCGUGGGUGAAGAAGGCCUUCGGGUUGUAAAGCCCUUUUGUUGGGAAAGAAAUCUUUCAGGCUAAUACCCUGGGAGGAUGACGGUACCCAAAGAAUAAGCACCGGCUAACUUCGUG
rnacentral:rRNA from 1 species